rfam:Triticum aestivum genome assembly, contig: Triticum_aestivum_CS42_TGACv1_scaffold_049349_1BS
UUUGUAGCUCCCUCCGUUCGGAAAUACUUAUCAUCAAAAUGUAUAAAAGGAGAUGUAUCUAGACGUAUUUUAGUUCUAGAUAAAUCUCUUUUUAUCCAUUUUGAUGAUAGUAUUUUUGGACGGAGGGAGUAAUAU